CUGGCUCAGGAUUAACGCUGGCGGCGUGCCUAAUACAUGCAAGUCGAAUGGUAGCAAUACCAUGGCGAACGGGUGAGUAACACGUAGGUAACCUGUCUUUAAGACGAGGAUAACCGAUGGAAACGUCGGAUAAUACUCGAUAGGUGAU
rnacentral:rRNA from 1 species